rnacentral:rRNA from 1 species
AGCAGUCGCCGCGGUAAUACGGAGGGUGCAAGCGUUAUCCGGAUUCACUGGGUUUAAAGGGUGCGUAGGCGGAUCUGUAAGUCAGCGGUGAAAUCUCCAGGCUUAACCUGGAAACUGACGUUGGUACUAUAGGUCUUGAAUUUUGUGGAGGUUAGCGGAAUAUGUCAUGUAGCGGUGAAAUGCAUAGAUAUGACAUAGAACACCAAUUGCGAAGGCAGCUGGCUACACAACUAUUGACGCUGAGGCACGAAAGCGUGGGGAUCAAGCAGGAUUAGAUACCCCGGUAGUCCCUGUCUCUUAUAC